UGAAACUGAAUUGCCAUUGAUUCAUACCUGGACUCCAAUCCUUUGUACAACCUGCAUCACAAAAUGUAAUGAUUUUAUUACUUGGUAUUGUUAUAUUUUAAAUUUUUGAGGCUUUAAACCAUAACACACCCAGUGAAAAAUCAUAUGCAUGGAAACCAAGAUAGAUAAAGUUGGCCAAUACAAGGUUGAAAGACAUUACGUUGACAUAUUCGGCAUGUUCCUU
rnacentral:lncRNA from 1 species